rnacentral:rRNA from 1 species
UACGGAGGGUGCGAGCGUUGUCCGGAUUUAUUGGGUUUAAAGGGUGCGUAGGUGGCUUUUUAAGUCAGUGGUGAAAUACAGCCGCUCAACGGUUGAGGUGCCAUUGAUACUGAAGAGCUUGAAACAAGUGGAGGCUGCCGGAAUGGAUGGUGUAGCGGUGAAAUGCAUAGAUAUCAUCCAGAACACCGAUUGCGAAGGCAGGUGGCUACGUUUGAUUUGACACUGAGGCACGAAAGCAUGGGGAGCAAAC